AAGGGUGCGUAGGCGGACUUGUAAGUGUCGCGUGAAAGCCCACUGCUCAACGGUGGAACUGCGCGGCAAACUGCAAGUCUCGAGGAAGCUAGAGGUCGCUAGAACGCUUGGUGGAGCGGUGGAAUGCGUAGAUAUCAAGCGGAAUGCCGAAGGUGAAGACAGGCGACUGGGGCUUUCCUGACGCUGAGGCACGAAAGCGUGGGGAGCAAACAGGAUUAGAUACCCUGGUAGUCCACGCCCUAAACGAUGUGUGCUGAAUCACGGCGGCUCUGACGCCGUCGGGAUUGUAGAGAAAUUGGUAAGCACACCGCCUGGGGAGUACGGUCGCAAGGCUAAAACUCAAAGAAAUUGACGGGGGCUCACACAAGCGGUGGAGCAUGUGGCUCAAUUCGAAGCAACGCGCAGAACCUUACCUGGGUUUGACAUACAUGGAUUAGCCAGUGGAAACAUUGGUGACGCUCGCAAGAGUGGAACAUGAACAGGUGCUGCAUGGCUGUCGUCAGCUCGUGCUGUGAAGCGUCGGGUUAAGUCCUCUAACGAGCGCAACCCCUGUCGCUAGUUACCAACAGGUAAUGCUGGGGACUCUAGCGAGACUGCCGGUGUCAAGCCGGAGGAAGGCGGGGAUGACGUCAAGUCCUCAUGGCCCUUACAUCCAGGGUUGCACACGUGCUACAAUGGUGCAUACAGAGCGACGCAAGGCCGCAAGGCGGAGCAAAUCGCAAAAAAUGCACCCCAGUUCGGAUUGCAGGCUGAAACCCGCCUGCAUGAAGCCGGAAUCGCUAGUAAUCGGGGAUCAGUACG
rnacentral:rRNA from 1 species